rnacentral:rRNA from 1 species
GACGAAUGCUGGCGGCGUGCCUAAUACAUGCAAGUAGAACGCUGAAGGAGGAGCUUGCUUCUCUGGAUGAGUUGCGAACGGGUGAGUAACGCGUAGGUAACCUGCCUGGUAGCGGGGGAUAACUAUUGGAAACGAUAGCUAAUACCGCAUAAUAGCAGUUGUUGCAUGACAACUGUUUGAAAGGUGCAAAUGCAUCACUACCAGAUGGACCUGCGUUGUAUUAGCUAGUUGGUGGGGUAAAGGCUCACCAAGGCGACGAUACAUAGCCGACCUGAGAGGGUGAUCGGCCACACUGGGACUGAGACACGGCCCAGACUCCUACGGGAGGCAGCAGUAGGGAAUCUUCGGCAAUGGACGGAAGUCUGACCGAGCAACGCCGCGUGAGUGAAGAAGGUUUUCGGAUCGUAAAGCUCUGUUGUAAGAGAAGAACGAGUGUGAGAGUGGAAAGUUCACACUGUGACGGUAUCUUACCAGAAAGGGACGGCUAACUACGUG